rnacentral:rRNA from 1 species
CCUACGGGAGGCAGCAGUGGGGAAUAUUGCACAAUGGGCGAAAGCCUGAUGCAGCAACGCCGCGUGAGUGAGGAAGGAUUUCGGGAUGUAAAGCUCUUUCAGCAGGGAAGAGAAUAGAAGGUACCUGAAAAAGAUGCCCCGGCUAAAUACGUGCCAGCAGCCGCGGUAAUACGUGGGGGGCCAGCCUUAUUCGGAUGUACUGGGUGGAAAGGGUGCGUAGACGGAAAGGAAAGUCAGAAGUGAAAGCCCAGGGCUCAACCGUGGGACUGCUUUUGAAACUGUCAAACUAGAGUACGGGAGAGGUAAGCGGAAUUCCUGGUGUAGCGGUGAAAUGCGUAGAUAUUAGGAGGAAUACCAGUGGCGAAGGCGUCUUACUGGACCGAAACUGACGUUGAGGCGCGAAAGCGUGGGGAGCAAACAGGAUGAGAUACCCGAGUAGUC